UACGGAGGGUGCGAGCGUUGUCCGGAAUCAUUGGGCGUAAAGGGCGCGUAGGUGGCUUCUUAAGCGUGCGGUGAAAGCCUGGGGCUCAACCCCGGGUCGGCCGUGCGAACUGGGGGGGCUGGAGCACUGUAGAGGCAGGCGGAAUUCCGGGUGUAGCGGUGGAAUGCGUAGAGAUCCGGAAGAACACCGGUGGCGAAGGCGGCCUGCUGGGCAGUUGCUGACACUGAGGCGCGACAGCGUGGGGGAGCAAACAGG
rnacentral:rRNA from 1 species